rnacentral:misc_RNA from 1 species
UUUCCGUAGGUGAACCUGCGGAAGGAUCAUUACUGAUUUGCUUAAUUGCACCACAUGUGUUUUUCUUUGAAACAAACUUGCUUUGGCGGUGGGCCCAGCCUGCCGCCAGAGGUCUAAACUUACAACCAAUUUUUUAUCAACUUGUCACACCAGAUUAUUACUUAAUAGUCAAAACUUUCAACAACGGAUCUCUUGGUUCUC